rnacentral:rRNA from 1 species
UACGAAGGGGGCUAGCGUUGCUCGGAAUCACUGGGCGUAAAGGGUGCGUAGGCGGGUCUUUAAGUCAGGGGUGAAAUCCUGGAGCUCAACUCCAGAACUGCCUUUGAUACUGGCGAUCUCGAGUCCGGGAGAGGUGAGUGGAACUGCGAGUGUAGAUGUGAAAUUCGUAGAUAUUCGCAAGAACACCAGUGGCGAAGGCGGCUCACUGGCCCGGUACUGACGCUGAGGUGCGAAAGCGUGGGGAGCAAACAGG